rnacentral:rRNA from 1 species
UUGAUGGCGACCGGCGCACGGGUGCGUAACGCGUAUGCAACCUACCCAGAACAGGGGGAUAACACUGAGAAAUUGGUACUAAUAUCCCAUAACAUCAUGAAGGGCAUCCUUUAUGGUUGAAAACUCCGGUGGUUCUGGAUGGGCAUGCGUUGUAUUAGCUAGUUGGUGAGGUAACGGCUCACCAAGGCAACGAUACAUAGGGGGACUGAGAGGUUAACCCCCCACAUUGGUACUGAGACACGGACCAAACUCCUACGGGAGGCAGCAGUGAGGAAUAUUGGUCAAUGGACGCAAGUCUGAACCAGCCAUGCCGCGUGCAGGAAGACGGCUCUAUGAGUUGUAAACUGCUUUUGUACGAGGGUAAACUCAGAUACGUGUAUCUGACUGAAAGUAUCGUACGAAUAAGGAUCGGCUAACUCCGUGCCAGCAGCCGCGGUAAUACGGAGGAUUCAAGCGUUAUCCGGAUUUAUUGGGUUUAAAGGGUGCGUAGGCGGUUAGAUAAGUUAGAGGUGAAAUACCGGUGCUUAACACCGGAACUGCCUCUAAUACUGUUUAGCUAGAGAAUAGUUGCGGUAGGCGGAAUGUAUGGUG